rnacentral:rRNA from 1 species
CCCUUAGAUGUUCUGGGCCGCACGCGCGCUACAAUGAUGCAGGCAACGAGUGCUGCUCCUUGGCCGAAAGGCUUGGGGAACCUUGAAAACCGCAUCGUGCUAGGGAUAGAUGAUUGCAAUCGUGCAUCUUGAACGAGGAAUGCCUUGUAAGCGUGAGUCAUCAACUCGCGCUGAAUACGUCCCUGCCCUUUGUACACACCGCCCGUCGCUCCUACCGAUUGGGUGUGCUGGUGAAAUGUUCGGAUCGGCCGUUUGUCGCGGUUUCCGCGUCAUGUGGCUGAGAAGUUCAUUAAACCCUCCCACCUAGAGGAAGGAGAAGUCGUAACA